CGCAUCUGUGCAUGCAGCAUAUCAAUAAGCGGAGGAAAAGAAACUAACAAGGAUUCCCCUAGUAACGGCGAGUGAAGCGGGAAGAGCUCAAAUUUGAAAUCUUAAAGGGUUUCCCUUUACGAAUUGUAGUUUAAAGAAGUGUUUUCUGUUGAGGUUUUGGUAAAAGUUCUUUGGAAUAGGACAUCAUAGAGGGUGAGAAUCCCGUAUUUGACCUUUACUUUCAACUUUGUGAUACACUUUCAAAGAGUCGGAUUGUUUGGGAAUGCAGUCCGAAAUGGGUGGUAAAUUUCAUCUAAAGCUAAAUAUUGGCGAGAGACCGAUAGCGAACAAGUACCGUGAGGGAAAGAUGAAAAGAACUUUGAAAAGAGAGUUAAACAGUACGUGAAAUUGUCAAAAGGGAAGCGUUUGACACCAGUGUUGUUUUUCUGAAAAUCAAUUAAAGAACUGUUUAUGCUAAGCUGUUUAGACUUUAUCAGCUAUCUGUUUAGUUUUGAGCUUUUCUUUAAUGCACUUUUUCAGUUAACAAGUCAACAUCAAUUUCUUUUGCUGUAAAAAAGCUUGAGGAAGGUGGCUUGAGAUUCGUCUUAAGUGUUUAUAGCCUCUUGCCUAUGCAGUCGGAGAGAUUGAGGUCUGCAGCGUAGAUCCUUCGGGGCUAAAUGCAUUUGCGCUAAGUUAUAGCAUUUUAUAGACAACUUGUUGACUAUGAUUUGUCUUGUAGCUUACUCGCUUAUGUUAUUUUACCUACGCUUAGGAUGUUGAGUCGUAGAGCACGCAG
rnacentral:rRNA from 1 species